AUACUUAUAUGACAGGGGAGAUGCCAUGAUCACCAUGGUAGCUUUCCCAGGGCUAGGCUUAUCCACUGUACACCAUAUAUACUGACCCCUGUAUUUCUCCAAAUGUGGGAAAGUCAGGUACAUAAUUUGUGGUAGUGGGAGGACUGUGUUCAUACUCUCCCC
ensembl:snRNA U1 U1 spliceosomal RNA